rnacentral:rRNA from 1 species
AACGGGUGAGUAACACGUAAGCAACCUGCCUUUAAGACGAGAAUAACAAUUGGAAACAGUUGCUAAGGCUGGAUAGGAAAUAAAAAGGAAUCUUUUUAUUUUUAAAAGACCUUUUUCGGAAGGUAUGCUUAAAGAGGGGCUUGCGUCACAUUAGUUAGUUGGUAGGGUAAAGGCCUACCAAGACGAUGAUGUGUAGCUGGACUGAGAGGUUGAACAGCCACAUUGGGACUGAGACACGGCCCAAACUCCUACGGGAGGCAGCAGUAGGGAAUUUUCGGCAAUGGAGGAAACUCUGACCGAGCAACGCCGCGUGAACGACGAAGUACUUCGGUAUGUAAAGUUCUUUUAUUGAAGAAGAAACAAUAGUGGAAAAACUAUCUUGACGUUAUUCAAUGAAUAAGCCCCGGCUAACUAUGUGCCAGCAGCCGCGGUAAUACAUAGGGGGCGAGCGUUAUCCGGAAUUAUUGGGCGUAAAGGGUGCGUAGGCGGUUUAAUAAGUCUCUAGUUUAAUUUCAACGCUUAACGUUGUCCUGCUAGAGAAACUGUUUAACUAGAGUGAGAUAGAGGUAAGCGGAAUUCCAUGUGUAGCGGUAAAAUGUGUAAAUAUAUGGAGGAACACCAGAGGCGUAGGCGGCUUACUGGGUCUUUACUGACGCUGAUGCACGAAAGCGUGGGGAGCAAACAGGAUUAGAUACCCUGGUAGUCCACGCCGUAAACUAUGAGUACUAAGUGUCGGGGUUAAACUCGGUACUGAAGUUAACACAUUAAGUACUCCGCCUGAGUAGUACGUACGCAAGUAUGAAACUUAAAGGAAUUGACGGGAUCCCGCACAAGCGGUGGAUCAUGUUGUUUAAUUCGAAGAUACACGAAAAACCUUACCAGGUCUUGACAUACUCUGCAAAGCUAUAGAAAUAUAGUGGAGGUUAUCAGGGAUACAGGUGGUGCAUGGUUGUCGUCAGCUCGUGUCGUGAGNUGUUAGGUUAAGUUCUAAAACGAGCGCAACCCCUGUCGUUAAUUGCCAGCACGUUAUGGUGGGGACUUUAGCGAGACUGCCAAUGAAAAAUUGGAGGAAGGUGGGGAUUACGUCAAAUCAUCAUGCCCCUUAUGAUCUGGGCUACAAACGUGAUACAAUGGCUAUUACAAAGAGUAGCUGAAACGCGAGUUUUCGGCAAAUCUCAAAAAAAUAGUCUCAGUUCGGAUUGAAGUCUGCAACUCGACUUCAUGAAGUUGGAAUCGCUAGUAAUCGCGAAUCAGCAUGUCGCGGUGAAUACGUUCUCGGGGUUUGUACACACCGCCCGUCAAACCACGAAAGUGGACAAUACCCGAAAGCGACAGCCUAACUGCGUAAGCAGAGGGAAUCGUCUAAGGUAGGGUCGAUGAUUGGGGUUAAGUCGUAACAAGGUAUCCCUACCGGAAGGUGGGGAUGGAUCACCUCCUUUCU